rnacentral:rRNA from 1 species
UACGGGGGGGGCAAGCGUUGUUCGGAAUUACUGGGCGUAAAGGGCGCGUAGGCGGUUGGAUAAGUCAGCUGUGAAAACCACGGGCUUAACUCGUGGCCUGCAGUUGAGACUGUCUGGCUUGAGUGUGGGAGAGGAGAGUGGAAUUCCUGGUGUAGCGGUGAAAUGCGUAGAUAUCAGGAGGAACACCGGUGGCGAAGGCGGCUCUCUGGACCACAACUGACGCUGAGGCACGAAAGUGUGGGGAUCAAACAGG